rnacentral:misc_RNA from 1 species
ACUAGUUCUUAUCUUGUUAGAUGUACUUACCUAACUAUUAGGUAAAUAUGUAUUUGUAUAUGAAAGUGGUUGUAAUAGUUCUAGCUCCCCUCCUAUAUAAAGGGAGCUUUAGUUUCAUUUGUGGUAAGACUUACCAAGAAAUAACAUUCUAGCUUCUUUGUCUUAUGACUUUCUGAAUUUCUCCCUCUCCUGAAAGUUAAAAAUUUUAUCUUAUUCAUAUAAUCCUCUACUAAGGCAUGAGUAUACUCUACAGUUGUCACUUUUAAGUAGAUCCUGCGUAUUAGAAAAUGCUAGUUCACUAAUCCAUUGCUACGGUCCUCCAAAUAUAGUUUUGUAUAAUAAUACAAAAGAGCAAAACCUUGAGAUUUGUUUGGCCAUGAUGUCUUAUUGUAUCUCGACACUGCAUAAGUAUUAUUAUGCUUAACUCAUGUUUGGGGGGCUCCCAACUAGACAUGGUAUAGUUUUAUUAUUAAAUCAAAAGUAACCGAACCAAAAACAAACAAAUUUUAGGAAUUACUAACCGAUGACUAAAUCAAACAUGCCCCUAUCAAAAUAACCGAAUUUCCUCGGUUCGAUUCAGUUCAGUUAUUAGGUUAUAACCAAAUAAUGCACACUCCUAUCCCUAUCACCCAAGAAUCCGGAUUAUCUUGUCAUUUCCUUGUAUAUAUGAUUUUCUGUACAUUCCUUGCCUUAUAUUCAUCUUAAUUAUAGGAAUAAUUACAUAAUUACAGGGAUUCUUUUUAGGAACAUUUUUUGUAUCAAAACCAUAUCAUUCUUAAUCAUAGUUAAAUACCAUUGUUUUCUUUUCUUUCUUACAACA